rnacentral:rRNA from 1 species
CCAAUAGCGUAUAUUAAAGUUGCUGCAGUUAAAAAGCUCGUAGUUGAAUUUCGGGACCAUCAUGUCGGUCGUGCCUCGGUACGUACUGGCAUUGUUGGUUUCUCCCUUCUGACGAACCAUGAUGUCAUUUAUUUGGUGUUGUGGGGAAUCAGGACUGUUACUUUGAAAAAAUUAGAGUGUUUAAAGCAGGCUCACGCUUGAAUACAUUAGCAUGGAAUAAUGAAAUAGGACGUUUGAUUCUAUUUUGUUGGUUUCUAGGAUCGACGUAAUGAUUAAUAGGGAUAGUUGGGGGCAUUAGUAUUCAAUUGUCAGAGGUGAAAUUCUUGGAUUUAUUGAAGACUAACUACUGCGAAAGCAUUUGCCAAGGAUGUUUUCAUUAAUCAAGAACGAAAGUUAGGGGAUCGAAGACGAUCAAAUACCGUCGUAGUCUUAACCAUAAACUAUGCCGACUAGGGAUCGGAUGAUGUUAAUUUUUUAAUGACUCAUUCGGCGCCUUACG